rnacentral:rRNA from 1 species
AGCGUUAUCCGGAAUUAUUGGGCGUAAAGCGUCUGUAGGUUGUUUGUUAAGUCUGGCGUUAAAUUUUGGGGCUCAACCCCAAACCGCGUUGGAUACUGGCAGACUAGAGUUAUGUAGAGGUUAGCGGAAUUCCUUGUGAAGCGGUGAAAUGCGUAGAUAUAAGGAAGAACACCAACAUGGCGAAGGCAGCUAACUGGACAUACACUGACACUGAGAGACGAAAGCGUGGGGAGCAAACAGGAUUAGAUACCCUGGUAGUCCACG